AGAUAGUGUCUGCAAUGUGAGCAUGGGCACCACCUUCUGGGGGCACAGGCUGCUCUGGGCACGGGUAAAGCAUGAAAUCAUACAUCUGAGUUCCACGUAGCCAGCACUUUGGAUAGAUUCUUUAUCUAUGGACCCUGAUGAUAGGGGCUCAUCAUGGUCUGCUUUGUUCUUUCCAGCUUAAAACUGUCACCAGAAGCCCUGGAUGAAAAAUACAGCCUCUGAUUCAUACCCACAGUCAGGAAACAUCCCUUGCGUUCAGUGCAGAAACAUGUCGGUCAACCUGGGAAAGAAAUCACCACCGCGAAGUAUGCUUUUGGCUUGCCAAAGCUUAGCAGCUGUGAGAGCCAAAAAUUCAGCUGCCUGGAUUUUCUGGGGAAGGUGGGGGGUGAUGUCAUGCUCAUUCUAAAGCCCAAGAGUUCUAAGGGACUGGGUUGCCUCUGCUGCAAUAGGAUGCCUAGAGAAGGACCCAAGAUUUCCUGAAGUCUCUGGGUUGAACGGCCUAGCUAAGCAAGAUGAGUCCAAAUACUCGGCGAUGUACCUAACCCAUGCACCCCAACCUAGGACAGCGCUGAUGGCUGCCCUUCUGUACCAGACUUGACCGAGGACAGUGAAGCCGCCGCGAGGGCUUCCCGCUCUGACGCCCCGCCUUCUGGCAGCCCCGGGGCAGGAAAGCGCCGGCGACGACGGGUCUCCGAAGCCCGGUGGUGGAAACCCCCGGUCUCUGGUGUGAGCCGGUGGGAACCCGCGGGCACGCUGGCUCCCUGCUCAGGCCCCGGGCGCACGCGGGGUGGGGCGGGAGGGUCUGAGCACCUGUGGUCCUGACCGCCCGCCGCCCGCCUCUCCGCCCACUUUCGCCCUCCAAGCCCCCCUUCCCGAUUUACCCCACUCCUUGGGGUGUGGGUGUUUGUUUUAACCCAAACGGAUGGGUGAAUAGCACCCUUGUCUGGCGCUUUCCUCCUCCCCAACCUCUAGAGCUGGUCCCUGAGAGGCUCGUUCCAGGGUUCCUUGAUUUGGGGGACCUGAAAAAACACGCGCUUUUGCUGAAGCCAGCGUUGGGCUCCCCCCCCCCCCCCCCCCCCCCCCCGUGCCCUGGCACGCUGGCCAGGAGAGGAAGCGGGGAGGAGGCAGGAACCAGACGCGACUCCCCCGCCCCGCGCCUUUCUUCUCUUCCCUGCUCCCCGCCCCUUCAGGAAGAAAGCAGUCAAGAGAUCUGAUCGCUCGUUGCGGCCGCCGUGCCAGCACCAAGCACUACGUACUCCUCUCCCUUCCACCCAGUUUUGCACGGAGCGCCCGGCUGCCCGCGCGCCUGGGGCUGGGCAGGUCCCGGCGGGCGGUGCAGCCUCCCCUCCCCCCGGGGCUCUUAGCGAAUCACGUUGUUCCUGGGAUUUCACGAUCUAGUGGCUCUUGCGUAACCCUAUGCCCUGGCCUAAAUUAACUUUUUUUUUUAAAUACUAGGAUUAAUCCUUUAGGAAAAGGCAAAUACUUCCGUCACGGAACCGGCCUGGGAGUACAUGUGUAAAUCACCGUGCUGACUCGAUUC